GGAUAGAGCUCAGUGGUAGAGCACGUGCUUAGCAUGCACGAGGUCCUGGGUUCAAUCCCUAGUGCCUCCA
rnacentral:tRNA from 1 species